GUCUCAUUCCUUAUGCAGACAUUUUUGUUUAUAAUUAACUGUAAUCAUUAAAAAAAUCAUAUAAUUAGACAACAGACUCGGCAAAAAUCAUAAUAUGUGUAACAGCGAAUAUGUCUAAUUCGGCGAAGCCCGGUGGAGUCCACAUCCUUCCAGACACAGCAUGGACACACACACGUCAGUGGAAGGUGUCCAGGACGGCACACCUAACUCUUUCCCUGCUAUUUUGGAGGUCCUUCAGCAAGGCAUCCAGCUCCUGCUCAUCAAUGUAGCCGUUGCCAUCCUGAUGAACAAGAACACACAAGAAAGUUUGAUAAAAGUUUCCAGCUCCACAAGCAGCUGGGACGUCUGAAAGUCAACGUUCUCCCAAUGACGGAAUGGGCGUUGCUUGUGUGGCACAGAGAGGGCAAAGCACGCAACUCAUCUGAAUAAUCUGCACAGGAGUACAUCUGAUGCUUCUCAUUUUCUGCUGCAGAGAAGCUACAAAACCUCCCCGUUAAAUAAAAGCUAAAAUGUGUCAAUAAUCUGUGCAGUUUUGCUCUGGUUGCUUGAUUCUGCGUUAAGUUUUGCAGACAUGACUGGAGCACAUUUAUUGACUGCAGAUCAAAUUUUGUACGUUUGGUGUAGUCCACUAAAGCCCUGUUUCCACUGAGAAGUAUGGUCCAGUUUAGAAUGAUCCAGGCAA